rnacentral:ribozyme from 1 species
UGCCAAGCAAGUCCUAUCCUUGCCUCCUCGUGGUACUGGCCGGGGUACGAGUAACUUUAGGGAAGA